rnacentral:rRNA from 1 species
UUGUAUGAUGGUCUGACAAGAACAAAACUGUCUCUACAUAAAUUAAUAAAAUUUGAUUUUUAGGUGAAGAAGCCUAAAUUACAUUAAAAGACAAGAAGACCCUAUCGAGCUUUAAAAAAAUUAGUAUAUUUAAUAGUUAAUGUUAAUAAAAAAAUAUUUACUAAAAAUUUUGGUUGGGGCGACUAAGGAACAAAAAAAGCUUCUUUAAAAAAUUUUAACUUACAAGUAUUGAUCCAGAUUUACUGAUACAAGAAAUUAGUUACCGUAGGGAUAACAGCAUUAUCUUUUUUAAGAGUUCUAAUCGAAAAAAAGGUUUGUGACCUCGAUGUUGGACCAGAAUAUCCCAAAGAUGCAGAAGUCUUUAAAGGUUGGUCUGUUCGACCAUUAAAAUUCUACGUGAUCUG